rnacentral:rRNA from 1 species
CUACGGAGGGUGCAAGCGUUAUUCGGAAUCACUGGGCGUAAAGGACGCGGAGGCGGGUUGGCAAGUCAGAUGUGAAAUCCUACAGCUUAACUGUAGAACUGCAUUUGAAACUGCUAACCUAGAGUAUGGGAGGGGGAGAUGGAAUUAGUGGUGUAGCGGUAAAAUCCGUAGAUAUCACUAGGAAUACCGAAAGCGAAGGCGAUCUCCUGGAACAUAACUGACGCUAAGGCGUGAAAGCGUGGGGAGCAAACAGGAUUAGAAACCCUAGUAGUCC